GUGCCAAUAGGAUGUACUGACAGAUCAGAGGUGGUCGUGAGAGAAGGAGUAAGUAGCCAGAAGAGUGAAGUGUGCACUGGCUGAGAUGCGGGAGCAGGUGUUGUUGGUUUCCCCGGAGAUGCAGCAAGAAGGCCCUCGCCAGAUAUCAAGGCCUUAAGCUUGGACUUCCCAGCCUCCAGAACUGUCUUAUGUAUCAACAAAAUCACACCAGACCACCCAAAGCUGGCCCUGCCAACUGACCACACACACCCCUGCCUGAAAGGCAUGUUUCAAUGUGCAACAGACGCCUGCCACUCAGGGGACAUCAAAUGUUCAUGAGAACUCGCUAACCUCGAAACAGGUUCUACAAAUUCAAAAAAACCACCCGCGGCCUGGCUCUGGGCUGAAGCUGAGUCCUGGCUUGAAAUCCCCUGCCUUAAUCUCUCUUCAAAGACUUUUCUGCAUUCAUCUGAGUCCUCAUCCUCCAAGGCAGGGCUCAGGCUUGGGCUCAGGCUCCCAGCCAUGUAUCCCUCCUGGACCAUUCCUGACCCCUUUCCAGUAUCCUUAUCACUUGUACCACAUACAUUGGCCUUUGAUCCUGUAUAUGGUUGGAUUUGUCUUUACUUCACAGGUUCAUCUUGUCUCCCCAAGAACAAUGAGAGUUGCCUCAAGGGGUAGAACCAUGCUUUUUGUUUUCUUUUGAAUUCAUUACAGCACAGCCAAAAGCUCAACACACAAAACACACUCAGUAAAUAUCUGUUGAACAGAAUAAAAGCCAUUCCGCA
rnacentral:lncRNA from 1 species